rnacentral:ncRNA from 2 species
UUCUUGUUGCACGGGAGCCGGUCAGACCGGCUGAGAGGGCAGUGCCUGCUGCCGACCGUUGAACCUGAUCCGGUUAUCCCGGCGUAGGAAGUCAUGCGGCAUCAAGG